UCAAAAAUGCCAAGAUUCUAAGACAAGGAGAAGCUUUUGGUUGAUAAGAACCUCCGGCCAACAGGGCAUCAGAGAAGACAUAUCCAGUGGGUACUGAGAAAUAAACAGCCAUACAUGGAGAGGGUCCAGGACCAUCUGGUGGAUUCUCUUCAGUGUUUCAGAGAUCUGUUCUAGUUUUUGGUUGCUGUGCAACAAAUACCCUGAACCUAGUGGUAUAAAACAAUAGUCACGCCUUAUCACCUCUCUGGACUCAGGUAGUUCUUUGGGCUUUCCUCAUUUGCUUGUGGUCAGAUGCUGGCUGGAGCUGGAGUCAUCUAGAAGACCUCCUCACUCAUAUGUCUGGUGGCUGAUGUUGCCUGGGAUUUCUCACAGCAGAAGCUUGCCAGCAAGGAGAAGAUUCCUGAGACAGGCCCAAGAUCCAUCAGGCUUCCACCAAGUUUCCUCAGUUUUGCCAAUUUCCACCUGUUGCCUAGUCACAAACUUAUCAGUGUUUUGUAAUGGCAGGCCCUACUUAGAUAAUAACCUAUGCCAUAAUCUCUCGGUCCUGCACACCUGCUGGCCUCAGCUGGGAUUUCCACUCUACUUGGAGCCUCAUGCAAUUGCAGCCAGAUGGUUGGGAUUGGAAUCUUGAAGGCUUCCUUGCAGGACUGGUGGUUAAUGGAGGCUGCUGGUUUGGAUGCUCACAAGCAAGCCCCUCCACAAGAACUAGGAUUCCUUGCAGUAUACUGACUGCCCAGCAAAAGCAAUCCUCCCAAGACAGCCAGGUAGAAGUUGUAUUGCUAUUUCUAACCUAGACUCCAAAAUCACAGAGCAUCAUUCCCACAGCAUUCUACUAUUCAAGGAGAAAAAGUACACUCUACUUUGAGGAGUGUUGGAAACUUCUAUGCACAUCAUUAAAAACCUCCUGGCCUCUGUUCUUUUCAGUCAUAAAGGUAUUUGAGGUGUGUCAUGCUCACAACUGAGGAAAGCAGUCUAGGACAGUCAAGUCAGUGAGCACAUUUAGCUUCUAGGGCUUGACUUAUUCAUUUUCUGUGACCUUCAGCAAAACACCUGGUCUCUCCAAGCCAACUGCUUCAUCUGAUUCUACAAAUAUGAAAGUGUAAUUUCCAAUAAAGGGAGUUAGUACAGGUGGGCUAAUGAGAACA